CCUUGAAAGAGGGGCUUUCAGUUCGGCUGGACCGGUGACAGGUGCUGCAUGGCUGUCGUCAGCUCGUGUCGUGAGAUGUUGGGUUAAGUCCCGCAACGAGCGCAACCCUCGCCCUUAGUUGCCAUCAUUUAGUUGGGCACUCUAAGGGGACUGCCGGUGAUAAGCCGCGAGGAAGGUGGGGAUGACGUCAAGUCCUCAUGGCCCUUACGGCCUGGGCUACACACGUGCUACAAUGGCGGUGACAGUGGGCAGCAAUGGAGCAAUCCGGAGCUAAUCUCUAAAAGCCGUCUCAGUUCGGAUUGGGGUCUGCAACUCGACCCCAUGAAGUCGGAAUCGCUAGUAAUCGCGGAUCAGCACGCCACGG
rnacentral:rRNA from 1 species